rnacentral:rRNA from 1 species
AAUGAACGCUGGCGGCAUGCCUAACACAUGCAAGUCGAACGAGACCUUCGGGUCUAGUUGCGCUCGGGGGCGUAACGCGUGGGAAGCUGCCCUUAGGUUCGGAAUACCUCCCUGAAGGGGGUGCUAAUACCGGAUAAUGUCUUCGGACAAAGGAUUUAUCGGCUGUGGAUGGGCCCGCGUUUUUUUAGCUUGUUGGUAGGGUAAACGCCUACCAAGGCGACGAUCCAUAGCUGGGCUGAGCCCAUGGUCAGCCACACUGAGACAGGGACAAGGCGCAGACUCCAGCGAGAGGCGGCAGUGGGGAAUAAGGGACACUGGGCGAAAGCCUGAUACGUCAAGGCCGGGUGGGUGGUGAGGGGGUUAGGAAUGUAAGUCGCUUUUACCCGGGAUGAUAUGACCGGAACCGGAGAAAAAGGCCCGGCUAACUUCGUU